rnacentral:rRNA from 1 species
UGGGGAAUUUUGGACAAUGGGCGCAAGCCUGAUCCAGCCAUGCCGCGUGCGGGAAGAAGGCCUUCGGGUUGUAAACCGCUUUUGUCAGGGAAGAAAUCUUCUGAGUUAAUACCUCGGGAGGAUGACGGUACCUGAAGAAUAAGCACCGGCUAACUACGUGCCAGCAGCCGCGGUAAUACGUAGGGUGCAAGCGUUAAUCGGAAUUACUGGGCGUAAAGCGUGCGCAGGCGGUUUUGUAAGACAGAGGUGAAAUCCCCGGGCUCAACCUGGGAACUGCCUUUGUGACUGCAAGGCUUGAGUGCGGCAGAGGGGGAUGGAAUUCCGCGUGUAGCAGUGAAAUGCGUAGAUAUGCGGAGGAACACCGAUGGCGAAGGCAAUCCCCUGGGCCUGCACUGACGCUCAUGCACGAAAGCGUGGGGAGCAAACAGGAUUAGAUACCCUGGUAGUCCACGCCCUAAACGAUGUCAACUGGUUGUUGGGAAGGUUCCUUCUCAGUAACGUAGCUAACGCGUGAAGUUGACCGCCUGGGGAGUACGGCCGCAAGGUUGAAACUUAAAGGAAUUGACGGGGUCAUAGCUGUUUUCCUG